UUAAUGAUACUUCUGUACGCAGCCACUGGAGUACCCAGGAGGGGGUGAGACGCCCAUGG
rnacentral:ncRNA from 1 species